GCUAGCGGCGCACACAUGUGACGUCAUAUCACAUCUCGCCGAGCGAUGUCCCCGAGCAGCCGAAAUUUUGAUGAAUAUUCUUGAUUUCUCGUGAUUUGAUUGAGAAUUAUAGCGAUCUCGUCAAGGAGGAGGAUAAUUGACACUAUUUGAACGGGUAAAUUCCUCCACCUCAUCUUGGACAGUAGAAUGACAAUCUUCCGAAGAGAAGAUCAGUAAUGGUUCUAUAGCUAUCAACUCAAACCAAAAUCACAUGACACAUCAUUAGGCAGCCAUCACAAGUCGCAGUUGACAUAUUCAAAGGCUGAAUCAGUGCAAUCUCCCAGGACACAAAGACUAAACAGUAAGUGUAACUUUUCAUUAUUACAAUCUUAAUAUUUUAACAUAUGUCAUAAACUAGUUUAGUCUUGGAAAGAAUAUUUGUGGCCAAAUGAUACUUGAUAACUCUAUUUCAGCUUGCCGGAUUUCCAAAAGCUCAUGAAAUGGGGCAAGAAGCAUUUGAUUAAUGAGAAAAUAUGCUUUUUAAAAAAAAGAUCUAAAAUGCAGCCAAGGAGAUUAAGGUUUGAGAAGAAAUUAAAGAAAAAGAAAAUAAUAGGUUUUUUUUUAAUUUAAUCUCUUUCCGUUUAGUACAAAGUGUCAAUUUAAGUUUGUUUUUGUAAGGUGCAUGCAGAAUUCAAUUUUUGGAUAGAUUAUUGAACUAGAAUGUUAUUAUUAUGGAUUUCUUAUAUUUUCUUAAAGAUUUAGUUCGGCCAUUUGCAAGCCAUGUUUACAUACACACAUCUUCAAACUGUCUAAAUGAUAUCAUAUAACAUAUGAAUACAAUGCUGAAUCAAGAGGUUGCUGAUUUUUUUUCUUCAAUAUCACUUUUAUUUCUGCUUCCAACAAAACAUUACAAAUCAAUGUUAAUCAUUUACAAAAAUUAAGGAAUACAUAUUAUCAGAGGGGUCCACUAAAAAGCAAUGUGUGGACCCCUCAACAAAUAGUUAGGAAUAAUGAGUAAUUAAAUUAACAAAUUUGUAACUACAAAAA